AAUCAACGCUGGCGGCGUGCCUCAGACAUGCAAGUCGAACGAUUAAGACUCCCUUCGGGGAGUGCAUAAAGUGGCGCACGGGUGAGUAACACGUAAGUAAUCUACCCUCGGGUGGGGAAUAACGUCCGGAAACGGACGCUAAUACCGCAUAAUGCAGCGGCACCGCAAGGUGACAGUUGUUAAAGAUUUAUUGCCUGGGGAGGAGCUUGCGGCAGAUUAGCUUGUGGUAAGGAACGGCUUACCAAGGCUACGAUCUGUAUCCGGUCUAAGAGGACGGUCGGACACACUGACACUGAAUAACGGGUCAGACUCCUACGGGAGGCAGCAGUCGGGAAUUUUGGGCAAUGGGGGAAACCCUGACCCAGCAACGCCGCGUGAAGGAUGAAGUAUUUCGGUAUGUAACUUCGAAAGAAUAGGAAGAAUUAAUGACGGUACUAUUUAUAAGGUCCGGCU
rnacentral:rRNA from 1 species